rnacentral:rRNA from 1 species
GACGAACGCUGGCGGCGUGCUUAACACAUGCAAGUCGAACGAAGAGCGAUGGAAGCUUGCUUCUAUCACUCUUAGUGGCGCACGGGUGAGUAACGCGUAAUCAACCUGCCCUUCAGAGGGGGACAACAGUUGGAAACGACUGCUAAUACCGCAUACGAUCUAAUCUCGGCAUCGAGGAUAGAUGAAAGGUGGCCUCUACAUGUAAGCUAUCACUGAAGGAGGGGAUUGCGUCUGAUUAGCUAGUUGGAGGGGUAACGGCCCACCAAGGCGAUGAUCAGUAGCCGGUCUGAGAGGAUGAACGGCCACAUUGGGACUGAGACACGGCCCAGACUCCUACGGGAGGCAGCAGUGGGGAAUCUUCCGCAAUGGACGAAAGUCUGACGGAGCAACGCCGCGUGAGUGAUGACGGCCGUCGGGUUGUAAAGCUCUGUUAAUCGGGACGAAAGGCCUUCUUGCGAAUAGUGAGAAGGAUUGACGGUACCGGAAGAGAAAGCCACGGCUAACUACGUG